GACGAACGCUGGCGGCGUGCUUAACACAUGCAAGUCGAACGGAAAGGCCCUGCUUUUGUGGGGUUCUCGAGUGGCGAACGGGUGAGUAACACGCGAGUAACCCGCCCCUGACUUUCGGAUAACUUCAGGAAACUGGGGCUAAUAUCGGAUAGGAGCUCCUGCUGCAUGGGGGGGGAUGGAAAGAUUCGGCGGUUGGGGAUGGACUCGCGGCUUAUGAGCUUGUUGGUGGGGUAGUGGCUUACCAAGGCUUUGACGGGUAGCCGGCCUGAGAGGGUUACCGGCCACAAUGGGACUGAGAUACGGCGCAGACGCCUACGGGAGGCAGCAGUGGGAAGUAUUGCACAAUGGGCGGGCGCCUGAUGCAGCAACGCCGCGUGCGGGAUGACGGCCUUCGGGUUGUGAACCGCUUUCGCAUGUGACGAAGCGGGAGUGACGGUAAUGGAUAAGGAAGCACCGGCUAACUACGUG
rnacentral:rRNA from 1 species